rnacentral:misc_RNA from 1 species
GGCCGUCAAUUCAUUUGAGUUCUAAUCUUGCGAUCGUACUCCCCAGGCGGGGCGCUUAAUGCGUUAGCUGCGUCGCACAAACCGUGGAAGGUUCGCACAACUAGCGCCCACCGUUUACGGCGUGGACUACCAGGGUAUCUAAUCCUGUUCGCUCCCCACGCUUUCGCUCCUCAGUGUCAGUAUUGGCCCAGAGACCUGCCUUCGCCAUCGGUGUUCCUCCUGAUAUCUGCGCAUUCCACCGCUACACCAGGAAUUCCAGUCUCCCCUACCAAACUCUAGCUUGACCGUAUCGAAUGCAGGUCAGGGGUUGAGCCCGGGGAUUUCACAACCGACGUAACAAACCACCUACGAGCUCUUUACGCCCAAUAAUUCCGGACAACGCUUGCACCCUAUGUAUUAC